CCUACGGGAGGCAGCAGUGAGGAAUAUUGGUCAAUGGACGCAAGUCUGAACCAGCCAUGCCGCGUGCAGGAAGACGGCCCUAUGAGUUGUAAACUGCUUUUGUACGAGGGUAAACGCAGAUACGCGUAUCUGUCUGAAAGGAUCGUACGAAUAAGGAUCGGCUAACUCCGUGCCAGCAGCCGCGGUAAUACGGAGGAUUCAAGCGUUAUCCGGAUUUAAUGGGUUUAAAGGGUGCGUAGGCGGGCGGAUAAGUUAGAGGUGAAAUCCCGAGGCUCAACUUCGGAAUUGCCUCUGAUACUGUUCGGCUAGAGAGUAGUUGCGGUAGGCGGAAUGUAUGGUGUAGCGGUGAAAUGCUUAGAGAUCAUACAGAACACCGAUGGCGAAGGCAGCUUACCAAGCUACUUCUGACGUUGAGGCACGAAAGCGUGGGGAGCAAACAGGAUUAGAUACCCCAGUAGUC
rnacentral:rRNA from 1 species